CCUACGGGCGGCAGCAGUGAGGAAUAUUGGUCAAUGGACGAGAGUCUGAACCAGCCAAGUCGCGUGAAUGAUGACUGCCCUAUGGUUUGUAAACUUCUUUUAUAUGGGAGUAAAAUGUUUCACGUUUGGGAGUUUGUAUGUACCAUAUGAAUAAGGAUCGGCUAACUCCUUUCCAGCAGCCGCGGUAAUACGGAGGAUGCGAGCGUUAUCCGGAUUUAGUGGGUUUAAAGGGAGCGUAGGUGGAUUGUUCAGUCAGUUGUGAAAGUUUGCGGCUCAACCGUAGAAUUGAAGUUGAAACUGGCAGUCUUGAGUACAGUAGAGGUGGGCGGAAUUCGUGGUGUAGCGGUGAAAUGCUUAGAUAUCACGAAGAACUCCGAUUGCGAAGGCAGCUCACUGGACUGCAACUGACGCUGAGGCUCGAAAGUGUGGGUAUCAAACAGGAUUAGAUACCCCUGUAGUC
rnacentral:rRNA from 1 species